rnacentral:rRNA from 1 species
UGGUUGCUGUGGGCGGAAUGUGUGGUGUAGCGGUGAAAUGCUUAGAGAUCACACAGAAUAUCGAUUGCGAAGGCAGCUCACAAAGCCAAGAUUGACGCUGAGGCACGAAAGUGUGGGGAUCAAACAGGAUUAGAUACCCUGGUAGUCCACACUGUAAACGAUGAUAACUCGCUGUCGGCGAUAGACCGUCGGUGGCCAAGCGAAAGCGAUAAGUUAUCCACCUGGGGAGUACGACCGCAAGGUUGAAACUC